rnacentral:rRNA from 1 species
AUUGAACGCUGGCGGCAGGCUUAACACAUGCAAGUCGAGCGAGCGGCGGACGGGUGAGUAAUGUCUGGGAAACUGCCUGAUGGAGGGGGAUAACUACUGGAAACGGUAGCUAAUACCGCAUACCAUCAGAUGUGCCCAGAUGGGAUUAGCUAGUAGGUGGGGUAAUGGCUCACCUAGGCGACGAUCCCUAGCUGGUCUGAGAGGAUGACCAGCCAAACGGGAACGGGGACACGGUCCAGACCCCAAGGGGGGGAGGCAGGGGGGAAUAUUGCACAAUGGGCGCAAGCCUGAUGCAGCCAUGCCGCGUGUGGGAAGAGGGCCUUCGGGUUGAAAAGCACUUUCAGCGAGGAGGCGUUACUCGCAGAAGAAGCACCGGCUAACUCCGUGCCAGCAGCCGCGGUAUUC